CCGGGCGCUCCUCUUGGGGUCGGUGGCGGAGAGGACGGUGUAGACGAGGACGAAGGUGCCGAUGAUCUCGGCGCCCAGCCCGGUGCCCUUGCUGUAGCCGGCCUGGAGCAUGUUGGCCCCGCCGCCGUACCGCUUGUAGUAGGCCCUCUGGAAGGCCUUCACGAGGCCGCACCCGCACACCGCGCCUAGGCACUGGGCCACCAUGUAGAGGAUGGCCCGCACCAGCGACACCCUCCUCGCCAGGAACAGCCCGAACGUCACCGCCGGGUUGAUGUGCCCCCCUGCCGAUCACAGGCAUAGCAAAAAAUCAAUUCGAGCCGAACAAAGAUCCGAAACGAAAGUAUAAUAUGAACCCGGACUGGCGUCGCCCGGACUCGAACCGGAGACCUUCAGUGUGUUAGACUGACGUGAUAACCAACUACAUCACGACACCACUUCGCUUCCCAAUUCGAAAUUGUUUAACCUUAUUUGAGCUUAGCAUAAACCAUAUAACUACGCUAUUAGUAUUCUAAUCGGCUAUGUUGUGCGCACCAGAAAUGCCGGCGGUGCAGUAGACGAGGACGAAGAUCAUGCCGCCGAAGGCCCAGGCGAUGCCGAGGAGGCCGACGCCGUCGCACUGGUCCCCGCCGUGGGUCGUGUCGCUCUGUCUGCUGUAGCCGAUCACCGUCAGCACGGUGAUGUACAGGAAGAGGAGGGUGGCGACGAACUCGGCGAUGACGGCCCGGUAGAAGGACCACUUGACGAGCUCCUCAGCGUCCACCAGUGGCGCCGGCGGCGGGUCGCGGUAGUCCUUGCCGUGAAACUCCCCGCCCUGUUGCUCCACCACCUCGUCGUCCUUGGCCAUGUCCUUAAAGACCCUUUAAAACUUUCCGAGGACGGAAAUCGUGACGAGAGACUGGUAAUCUGUGGAGAGCGUGGUUGCUGAUCAGCUAAAAAGCGAAGGGGUGAGAGGGGUGGGAGAAGGUCUGUUUCGUUUUAUGGAGGGGUCUUGCAGAGAGAGUAGUACGAGAGUGUGCUGGGACUAUCGAGUGAACGAACGAGAAGGAUGUAGCGAGAUCUUUUUCUUUUUUUAGAUUAUCGUGUUUUCUUUUCUGGGCCCCACUUGGAUCUGAUUUUCCACGGAUUCUGAUGGCGAUCUGGCACUCUCUAUUAUUUGCUUGAGAUCCGAGGACGUUCCAGCGUGCUCGAGAGGGUUGCUAAGUAGAUUAAAGGGAAAACGUAACUUAGAAAAAGGGGGGACGAUAGAACUUUUCUUGCGGGGUAUUUCAUAGGCCGGGAUCGAAUUUACCUAUCUCGUGUGAAUUUUGGAAAAAGAAUUGAAAUUAGCUGGUAUUUCCUCCCGGAAAUUCAGAGUCCUGUACCCUCUUUUUCAUACAAAAUUUCCAUUUUAAUCCACCCAUGAAUGCUCUUCUUGUGUUAAAAGCCAGUAAUAAUGGCGGAAAAGCACGUCGUCCAUUCGCAGUUCGUCAGCAUUCUUUCUAUGCAAAUAUUCUAUUAUUAGCAGAAUAUUCUUCACACUAACAACCAAAAUCUGCUAAGCUUAGGUAACCAAAGCCCACCACGUCUGUCCCGUUUUAUCCCCCAUCAAUCAUCUAGCGGAAGGACACGUGUAAUUACGUUAUCUAAUAUUAUUCUUGAAAUAAAACUGCAAUCAUAGAACUUAGAUAACAUUGCACGUUUUUCAGGCAAGUCCCCGCGCGCGAAAUCUCCAAUCACUAUCUAAUGAACGACACAGGUUAGCGAUUUUCCUCGUUUAGAGGAAAAAAUCGUCGAGCGAGUUCUGUACAAGCGUGCCCAAGCGACCAUCCCAUCCUGGCCUCAACUUCACCACCACCGUCCGACUCCGACCCCACUCCAAUCGAGCUCGCCUCUCCGAUCUUAUCCGUCCACGUAGCACCUUCCUUGGGACGGGGAGUAGGGGUGGGCCCCGCGCCGUUGAUUUCUCUCCAAUCCAUUAGAUCCGACCUGUGCUGGAGAAGGGACGACGGGACAGAAGAGCCUCCAAAUACGAAUAUAAAAAAAAAACAAGAACAACUUGGCUCUCGUGGUGCCACGUGGCGGGGGCCCGGGGGUCCUAUGAAAGGGCUUUUGUCUGCAGGACGUUUAUAGCUAAGCUCGUGACGGAGGAGGGAGGGAGGGAGGGAGAAAAUCGAGGGGCCGAUGAGGCGUUCGGUCGCCCUGCCGUGUCGCCGUCAUCGGUUGGGAAUUUGUCGCGAUCAGACACGUGGGAAUCCGAUCGCCGUUAUCCGCAACUAGACGGUGGGUCUAUUGAGGAAUCGGAGGGCCCGUUUUGUUUGUUCAAAGAGUCGCCAGAUCCAAAACGUGGUCGGGCACAUGUUAAAAAUGUACUUGCCCUUUCGCUCGGACAGCGCAUCAUGUAUCGCUAUUUUUGAAAAUAGCAAUUUACGUCUAGAAACAUCCAUCAUCAAACCUAUCGGUAGACAGUUGUGAUGAUUCAGAGCUUGCUCCUCAUUAUCGAGAUCGCAAGUUCAAAUCUUCAAGUGCUAGCGUUUUAAGUAGAGAGUCAUGGUAGUGAAAAUCUAUGCUAAUCUCCUUCGAGGUUAUAAGGGUUCGGUCCUUCGGUACUGUCCAGGUAUGAGGGCCCGUGGUGAAGUCAUCGGUUAUAAAUAUAUAUAUAUAUAAAUCGUCAAUGUAAAUUUAGUGGGUCUUUUUAUCGGAAUAAAAUAACCUUCAUUUUCUCUCAUUUUUUUUUUCUAUAGUAAUUUUCGUUAAGGGCUAGAAAAUAUUCACCAUUCUUAUAUCUCUCAAAUCAACUCCAUAUCAAUAUGUCAAUGCUUGAAAUUCAAUUGCCACAUCGAUUAUUGCCAUGCGGCUUAUCAUUAUUUGCCGCGAAGAAGUAAUCUAGGAACACGUUGAGUGUAACGAUUUUUGGCCCCUCUUCCUAUUAUAUUGAUCAAGGGUACUCAUCGGCGUCACCCUGAUUUCAAAUUCAAUUUUUAAGUUAAAAAUGGAUAACCUCGCCAUAGUCCGUGCGCCCAAAACCCUCUUUUCCUCCCCUACUCUCACUCGCCGCACCAACAUCCUCCCCCCCUCCCCUUUUUUCCUCCCUCCCUCUUCCUCACUCCUCCAUGCUUUCCCCAUUACUCCUCUGUGCUCGACUGCUCUGGCGUUUGGUCGGGGAGGUGGAGCAGGUCGUGGAAGCCAUUGACGACCUUGGUUCGAGGUUUGCUGCUGAGUGGGGGACCUCGACGACCUCGCCAUGGUCAUCCUAGAGGCCGAGGGCGUGCGGGGUAAAGGGUGGAGGGGGGAAUAUGUUGGUGCAAAGAGUGAGAGUAGGGGAGGAAAGGGGUUUGGUCUUUUUCAUUUUGGAUUAAUGGUAGGGGACUGAAACACGUGUUUUUUGAAAAACAGUUUAUGUAAAUGGUCACUAGAUGAAAAUUCAACCGUGCAAUGAGUAUUUUUCCAAAAUUUUUCUUUUCUUUCCCACCUAAGUUUUAACGUUUUCGCUCAAAUUUUGAAAAAAUGUAAGAGAAUCAUAGGUGGAUUUAUAUAUCGAUAUUAUCUUAGAGUUUUCGAGUCGAGACAUAAUUGAAAUGCAUAAACCACAAGAUUUAUUUUCCAAAUCACCUUGUUAAUCAAAAUAAACAAGCAUGGUUAGUUAAAUAAAGUCAAGAAAAUUGAUAAAAAAAGAAAGAAGGACAAAAAUAAUGAAUCAACGAUUGGAUUCAUGAUCAACCCCUGAUUUAAUUUUUGAAAAACAAGUCAACAAUCUCUCGUGCAUAAAGAUAUAUGAUCACGCAUUCUAGACCAUUGAUAAAGCAAUUUACAAGGCCCUACUACCCUUGUAGAAUCAUUCCACCGUAAUGGACACAAUCUUAAAUCUUGAUAUUCAGGUGCAUUUCGGCCAAAAUGAAAAACAUACUUAACAAAUUUGUUUCGUGGAAAAUCUCCAUUUCAAAAAAAUGGUCUUUAUAAAUGAUUGCCAUUAUCAAUUAUAAUGAGUCAAUUAGAAUUAUAUUCAUAGUUGACUACUGACGGAUAAGCAAUGGUUCCACAUCUCUGUUGGAAAAAAUAUGGCUUUGAAUUGUGUAGAAUAAUGAAUACGGAUAUUCAGAGUACUUAAGUCGAACUUUGAGGCGUGAUAUCACUUUCUUUAAAGAUUUAUUUGUCCCACAAUAUUGCUAAUGGUCACCGGUAAAAAUCCUCCAAGAUACAACAAAGUCUUGGAUGAGAAUAAUACAUAGCAAUUUUAGUAUUUCUUCAGGGUCUCUUUAAGAAACAAUUGAAAGAAUGGCUAUAGUUUUUUCAGAUAGAAAGCUCGAAAAAGAUGAAAAUGAUCACUCUCGUUUUUCCGAAAAAUAACGAGUAUAUAUAUAUAUAUAACAGUCUUGCAACUCUUUGUGAAAAUUGCCAAAGAAUGAACAAACAUGUCCUUUAGAAAAAAUUGUUCAGAUAAACAAAUGCAACUUUUCGGAAGAAGUCGAAAACCGAACAAUUGCAACCUUUCAGGAAAAGUUACAAACCAAAUAAAUAAUUUUCCAAAGGUUGUCUCGAAAACACAAAUAAAAAAAAAUUCGGAAUAAUAGUUUUUUUUAUAAAUAUAAUUUCGAAUUUUCAUUUUAUAUUUCAUUUCCGAAAAUUCUCAAAUUAAAAAGCAACCUUCGAUUUGAAUUGAUUAAAAAUUAAUAACAUAAAAAAAUAACAAAUGGAUUAAUGCUAAUUAAACCGCGGGCGUGCUAAGUGCGCCAAAAAAUCGUGCACCUGCACGCGGGUAUGGUGGGGUCUAGCCCCACCCAAUCAUUCUUUUAAGUGAUAUAGAAAAUCCCGCACUUUUAAAUUGGCCUACUCUCUCCUACUUCUCCUUUGUGCGACAAGGAAAAAACACUCAGUUUAUUUUGACAAACAAACCUCCAACAAUCUCAUCUAACAAGCCAUUUCAAUUUUGUAUCGUGGACACGGCUCGAGCGGUUGGGCUAGUUUCUCCUGGGCCUUGUUCUGGAGGUGGAAAGGGAAAAAGGCGAAAGCAAAGAUGAGUGAUGAAAGAAGGACGGUGCAAUUUUCUUUUGUUCGGGAAACGAACGAAGAUGGAAAAGGGAGCAAAGUGAGAUGAAACACUUUGUCCUCGGCUUACGUAAAAUAAUCUCUCCAAUUUGCUGAAAUAUUCGGUGGUUCCAUGAGGCCAUAUGAGGUGCGCAUUUACGUACUCAAGUGCAAUUAUAGAUUGACGUGUCGACAUUGCUUUGAAAUUAAAAUAUAAAAAUCUCAUUUUUCGUUUUCUUCCUUCUCUAUCCAAAGAGCACCGCCCGUCUGGUCAUCCAGACUUGCGUCCGCUACCAGUCAUGGACUACCGGCAUCAAUGGCUGAUGGCCAGGCCAAGCCGUGUUUAGACCCUAAUAUGGACGGUCAUCCAUUGAUUUAUUCAAUGGCUUUAAAGAUCAAGAUAGGCGAGGCUAGAAAUGGAUGAGUAAUGAUGGAGCUGACCACGAGCGACGACAGAGUGGAUAGCAAGUUACCAUCUAUGGACGAACAAAUAGGGGUAAGCAUGUCGAACCGCCCAAACGGGGAAUCACCUAAAUCAGACCAGAUUGGCCAGUGUGGUUCUAUUCCCAAAGGGAUCGGUCCAAUUCUCAAUUUCAUAAAAAUGGAACCGAUGAUUAUCAGUCUAAUUCCCGGUUUCAGGAGGGAAUCAGACCGGACCAACUCUUUUUUAUUUAAAUAUAUAUUUUAAAUUUCUUAAAACAACAAUAAACCCUAAAAAUAGUAAUAAUUAUACUAUAUGUUUUUUAAUUUUUUUUUCUAAGUGAUCGGUUCCCAAUACUAAAACUGUCUAGUUCGAUUUCUAAUCCAAAAUUGGGAACUGGUUCUCCUAGUCCGGUUUUGGAUCCUUAGAUGGAGCUGGAUUGGACAAUCACCCCUAACAAACAAGACUUAGGCAUGUGGAUGAGCCAUGGACCAGUGACUAUGAUUAGUGACGCUACUAGCUCUCCAAAAUUGGCUGUCGAUGUAGCUUGUACCUGCUGACCAUGCUAGCUCUCUAGAUUUGGCCGUCCAUGGCCGUCGGUGUCUCUUGCGAGCCUUACUCGUCCAAGGGCGGUGAUGCUACGGGCCGUCUAGAUUUGAGCCUUACUUGUCCAUGGGUGGUGACGCUACGGGCGCUCUAGAUCUGGCCAAUCAUGGUUCGGCAUCGCUCGUGGGCCUUGAUCGUCCAUGGCUAGUGGCGCAAUUCAUGGUCGCGAGCCUCUGUCGUCCAAGGCACGCAAAAGGCAAAAAGAAAAUACAUAACGCGAAGUGACUUGUCUGAGGCCCAUGACCGACCAUCGAUGGAAGAAGAAUUCCGCGUCAAAAUGCACAUGUCAAUUUAUGAGUGGAUGUGAGGGGAAAAAAAAAAGA
rnacentral:lncRNA from 1 species